AGCAGUGUAGCAUAGUGGUAGGAUGCAGGACUCGCAAUCCAAAGGUUGCCGGUUCGAUUCCCCGCUGGGG